rnacentral:rRNA from 1 species
ACUCAAGAAACGGACCUUAGUCCAACCUAAAGUUGAUCUAAUACGACAAAAUUAUCCCUUAACUUUAGAGCAAUUCAAAUAAGGUACAGCCUAUUUGAAACAGGAUACAACCUCAACUAACGGGUUCGGCGCCUAGUGCCACCCGACUAAGUGGGCCCGAAAGCAGCCACCUUUCAAAAAGCGUCAAAGCUUAAUUAUCCACCACCACAAUCCCAAAAUUCUCCCCCAACCCUUUUACAGUAAUGAGUAAUUCUAUACCUCUAUAGAACUUUUUAUGUUAAAACUAGUAAUAAGAAGAUGACCCUUCUCUUAAAUGCAAACAUAAACCAGAAAGGACACACCCCUGGUAAUUAACACCCAUGAGCUGCUAAUAGCAACGUUAUGAAAAACCCCUAUUUAUCAAUAUGUUAACCUGACACAAGAGCAUUAAAAGAAAGAUUAAAAGGAAAAGAAGGAACUCGGCAAACAUUAACCUCGCCUGUUUACCAAAAACAUCGCCUCUCGAACAAAUAUGAGAGGUCCAGCCUGCCCAGUGACUCUGUUCAACGGCCGCGGUAUCCUAACCGUGCAAAGGUAGCGUAAUCACUUGUCCUUUAAAUGGGGACUAGUAUGAACGGCACCACGAAGGUUACACUGUCUCCUUUUCCCAAUCAGUGAAACUGAUCUCCCCGUGAAGAGGCGGGGAUAUACAUAUAAGACGAGAAGACCCUAUGGAGCUUCAAACAAGGUAACAACCGCCAUCUCAUUCAAAUUUCAGAAUACUUGCCCUUAUCCUGGCGGCAUGAUUACUAGUUUUAGGUUGGGGUGACCACGGAGAAUAAACCAACCUCCGUGUUGAAAGGGGCCUCCCCUAAGCAAAAAACCACAACUUUAUGCAUCAAUAAAUUGACAUUAAUUGACCCAAUAUUUUGACCAACGAACCAAGUUACCCUAGGGAUAACAGCGCAAUCCAUUUUGAGAGCCCCUAUCGACAAAUGGGUUUACGACCUCGAUGUUGGAUCAGGGUAUCCCAGUGGUGCAGCCGCUACUAAAGGUUCGUUUGUUCAACGACUAAGACCCU